CCUCCUGGUGACGACCUUGCUAUGGGACAGCAACACACAGCCUGCUGGAGUGGCACCGCCGAGGCUCACAUCUGGGUGGCCUGUGGAAUGUGACAUCCUGGACUGGAUGCCUGCCUGCUUUAAGAAUGCCAUUUAAAACUCCCCCUGGGAAACCUGUUUGGAAAAUGUCCUGGACCCGAUCAAGUCAUUGGCCCAUGGACCCAUCCCCUGUUGCUCUCCAAGGCCUCGGUACGUGUGGCCCCCACGCUUGCUGCAUUCCCCAAGGACUGCUAUGAGAUCUGAUUUUACAUGUGAGGAAACUACGACAGUGGGAGGAGAAUCCAAUUGCCCAUGACCCACAGCAGAGGCACCUGCUGGAGUGAGCCUCAGGAUCUUUGAAUCCAUCAAAAGGACUCAGUCCUGAACAGAUGGCUGCCUUACAGUGGACUUCAUAUCCAGCCAAUAUAGGCCAUUAUCUACCUAAUAAGCAAUCUAGCAAAUG